rnacentral:lncRNA from 1 species
ACAGCAAACACUACGUUCCACCUUAACAAUGUCCUUGUUGCUCGUGCUCUAGUGCGCAAUCUUUUUUUGUCCGCCAAUUCACUCGUGACAAUUCAUGCUCCAUCAAAUUUGAUGCUUUGGGUGUUUCUGUCAAGGACCUGCACCUGGAUGCGUGAUUCUUCACUACAAUAGUGGUGGGGAUCUCUACACUAUCACCCCCACACUGCCCACCUGCAGCCUCACCACCUCCGCC